rnacentral:rRNA from 1 species
AGCAGCCGCGGUAAUUCCAGCUCCAAUAGCGUAUAUUAAAGUUGUUGCAGUUAAAAAGCUCGUAGUUGAAUUUCGGGGUCGGUAGAUUGGUCGUGCCUCUGGUAUGCACUGGUCUUACUGGCUCCUCCUUCCUGAUGAACCGUAAUGCCAUUAAUUUGGUGUUGCGGGGAGACUGGACUGUUACUUUGAAAAAAUUAGAGUGUUUAAAGCAGGCUAACGCUUGAAUACAUUAGCAUGGAAUAAUGAAAUAGGACGUUCGAUCUUAUUUUGUUGGUUUCUAAGAUUGACGUAAUGAUUAAUAGGGAUAGUUGGGGGCAUUAGUAUUCAAUUGUCAGAGGUGAAAUUCUUGGAUUUAU